rnacentral:misc_RNA from 1 species
AUGAUCAUCACAGAGAUGAGAAUGAUGAUAGAGUUCCGAAAGGGUACAUUCCAGUAAUGGUUGGGAAGGAGAACGAAAAAAUUAAGAUGCUGAUUCAUGUGAAGAUGUUCAAGAAAGCUUAUUUUGUUGAGCUGUUGGAGAUGGCUGCGGAUGAGUUUGGAUAUGAACAUCAAGGAGUACUCCAAAUCCCAUGUGAUGUUGUUUGCUUCAUUAAUAUGCUCAAACAGAUUUCCAGGGGCAAGUAUAUGUAGCUGGUCCUACUUUUUCUUCUUCUUCUUCUUCUCUUUCGUUGCUUGCUUGAAUAAUCAUAUAUUAAUUCCAUA